rnacentral:rRNA from 1 species
AGUUGCCAUCAGGUAAAGCUGGGAACUCUGGGGAGACUGCCAGCGAUGAGCUGGAGGAAGUGGGAUGACGUCAAGUCAUCAUGGCCCUUACGUCCAGGGCGACACACGUGCUACAAUGGCAGCUACAGAGGGUCGCAAUACCGCGAGGUGGAGCCAAUCCCUAAAAGCUGUCUCAGUUGGGAUCGGAGUCUGCAACUCGACUCCGUGAACGCGGAAUCGCUAGUAAUCGUGGAUCAGCCAUGCCACGGUGAAUACGUUCCCGGGCCUU